rfam:Madurella mycetomatis strain mm55 MMYC01_Sc2001, whole genome shotgun sequence.
GGGCUGUUGGUCUAGUGGUAUGAUUCUCGCUUUGGGUGCGAGAGGUCCCGGGUUCAAUCCCCGGACAGCCCC